UUUUAAAUGGCCGCAGUAUUUUGACUGUGCAAAGGUAGCAUAAUCAUUAGUUUUUUAAUUAAAAGCUUGUAUGAAAGGCUGGACGAGGUAAGAUCUGUCUCUAUUUAAAUUAUAGUAGAAUUUAACUUUUAAGUUAAAAGGCUUAAAUAUUAUUAAAAGACGAGAAGACCCUAUAGAUCUUUAUAGUUUAUUAAAUUAAAUUAAUUUAGAAAUAUUAAUGUUUUAUUUAGUUAAGUUAUUUUAUUGGGGUAAUAAAAAGAUUGAAUUAAUUCUUUUUUAUAAUAAACAUUAAUUUAUGAAUAUUAAUGAUCCAGUUUUACUGAUUAUAAGAUUAAGUUACCUUAGGGAUAACAGCGUAAUUUUUUUAGAGAGUUCAUAUCGAUAAAAAAGUUUGCGACCUCGAUGUUGGAUUAAAGAUUAUUUUAGGUGUAGAAGCUUAAUAAUUUUGGUCUGUUCGACCAUUAAAUCUUUACAUGAUCUGAGUUCAGACCGGCGUAAGCCAGGUCGGUUUCUAUCUUUAAUAAAAUAAAAUAUUUUAGUACGAAAGGACCAAAUAUUUGAUAUAUUUAUAUUUAAUUUAUUGAAUAUUA
rnacentral:rRNA from 1 species